rnacentral:rRNA from 1 species
CUACGGGACGCAGCAGUGGGGAAUAUUGCACAAUGGGGGAAACCCUGAUGCAGCGACGCCGCGUGAGUGAAGAAGUAUUUCGGUAUGUAAAGCUCUAUCAGCAGGGAAGAAGAAAGACGGUACCUGACUAAGAAGCCCCGGCUAACUACGUGCCAGCAGCCGCGGUAAUACGUAGGGAGCAAGCGUUAUCCGGAUUUAUUGGGUGUAAAGGGUGCGUAGAUGGAUAAACAAGUUGUUUGUGAAAUACCUCGGCUCAACUGAGGAACUGCAAGCAAAACUGUAUAUCUUGAGUACUGGAGGGGAAA